CCUACGGGUGACAGCAGUGAGGAAUAUUGGUCAAUGGCCGGGAGGCUGAACCAGCCAAGUCGCGUGAGGGAAGACGGCCCUACGGGUUGUAAACCUCUUUUGUCAGGGAGCAAGGUGCAGGUCGGGACCUGCUGUGAGAGUACCUGAAGAAAAAGCAUCGGCUAACUCCGUGCCAGCAGCCGCGGUAAUACGGAGGAUGCGAGCGUUAUCCGGAUUUAUUGGGUUUAAAGGGUGCGCAGGCGGAGGCACAAGUCAGCGGUAAAAUCGCGGGGCUCAACCGUAAAAUUGCAAUUGAUACUGGCAGUCUUGAGUACAGUUGAGGUAGGCGGAAUUCGUGGUGUAGCGGUGAAAUGCUUAGAUAUCACGAAGAACCCCGAUUGCGAAGGCAGCUUACUAAACUGUGACUGACAUUGAUGCUCGAAAGUGUGGGUAUCAAACAGGAUUAGAUACCCGAGUAGUC
rnacentral:rRNA from 1 species